rnacentral:rRNA from 1 species
UACGUAGGGUGCGAGCGUUAAUCGGAAUUACUGGGCGUAAAGCGUGCGCAGGCGGUUUUGUAAGUCUGACGUGAAAUCCCCGGGCUCAACCUGGGAAUUGCGUUGGAGACUGCAAGGCUGGAGUCUGGCAGAGGGGGGUAGAAUUCCACGUGUAGCAGUGAAAUGCGUAGAGAUGUGGAGGAACACCGAUGGCGCAAGGCAGCCCCCUGGGUCAAGACUGACGCUCAUGCACGAAAGCGUGGGGAGCAAACAGG